rnacentral:rRNA from 1 species
GACGAACGCUGGCGGCGUGCUUAACACAUGCAAGUCGAACGGAAAGGCCCUGCUUUUGUGGGGUGCUCGAGUGGCGAACGGGUGAGUAACACGUGAGUAACCUGCCCUUGACUUUGGGAUAACUUCAGGAAACUGGGGCUAAUACCGGAUAGGAGCUCCUGCUGCAUGGUGGGGGUUGGAAAGUUUCGGCGGUUGGGGAUGGACUCGCGGCUUAUCAGCUUGUUGGUGGGGUAGUGGCUUACCAAGGCUUUGACGGGUAGCCGGCCUGAGAGGGUGACCGGCCACAUUGGGACUGAGAUACGGCCCAGACUCCUACGGGAGGCAACAGUGGGGAAUAUUGCACAAUGGGCGGAAGCCUGAUGCAGCAACGCCGCGUGCGGGAUGACGGCCUUCGGGUUGUAAACCGCUUUCGCCUGUGACGAGGCGUGAGUGACGGUAAUGGGUAAAGAAGCACCGGCUAACUACGUG